CGAUGAACAUCAGCUUGGGAGAAGGAGCCUUUUGCCUCCCAGUUGUCCAAGACAAAUCUGACUUCUAUGUCAUCUAGUUCAUUAGAAACAGAAGAUGCUUGUUAAGCUGCAGAAAACUGAAAACGUGUAGCAGAAAAGAAUGAAAUUACACUGUCCUGCCACGUUCUCCGGUUUCAUUACAUCAAGACCCCCAACUCCAGAUGUACCUAAAUGCCCUUCAGCCGACACUACAAGGUAGGCCCUAUCUGGCUCCCUGCUCCACACGCAGAGAUGAAACACAGAACUCAAGGAGUCACACCCAAAAAAUGGAAAAUCUACUUUGGAAGGUCAGUUUAAGUCGAUCCUUGCCUGACCUUACAUGGCACUGUGUAGGUAACCUGCAGCAUCACACAGGCUGUGUUCAGAACAGAGCUCCUGGUAACCUUGGGCCAGACCCCAGGGACAUAGUUAGUGCCUGGACUAUUAACACCAUUGUCAUCAACAGAAGUGGGUGCUACAGCCUCAAUGACUACAUGACACUUCAUUCGCUGUAUGAAUCAGAAACUUCGAAGGGAGGGGAAAGAAAACCAUACCAGAAGCAGUACAGGAUCAUAUGACUGCGUAGUUGUUCAUUUUUCAAAGGAAGAGUAAAUUAAGAAUUGCAAGGAGAAGCUUAAUUUUACCUUGGUUUCACUUCUGUGUGCUUGAACGGCACAAUAUGCUUUGUAACAGAUUUUAGGGAAGGUGUUCUAACCUGUGGUUUGCUGUUUUGUUUGUUUUUCUAUUAACUAUUUGUAGUGGAGUCUACAAGGGAAAAGGAAAGAAACCCUAACACCAGCAGACGCCCCACUGCAGUCAGCCUGAGUGCUGGGAAGGAGCAGUGAGGUAGGUGGGAGCCCCAGAAGGAAGCUAGCUAUGGGGCCACUUGUGCCACACUGCUCCCAACCCCGCCUCCCCAUCUCUUCAGCUCUGCUCAGUUUCUGUUCCUUACCCUCAGACAGCAUGUCCUCAGCAACAAGUACAUGGAAGAACAAACUUCUCACAGGCAAACCCUGCCACUUUCAACAACAGCAGGAGAACAUGCUCUUCCCAAUUUCUCAGAAACAGUAAGCUGCUUUCUAUAACUCUUCUCAAGAGUUUUGAGGGUGGCACGACAGACAACUUGGGAAAUUUUUGUUUAAAAGCAGUUAACAUUAUAAAACGACUGAAAACAGAAA